rnacentral:lncRNA from 1 species
AAAAACACCCCUCUCUCUACUGACCUCAGGCACGAGUAACGUAGCACCUGGAAGCUAAUGCAGAGACAAGUUUGACAUUGGGUUAUAAAGGCAAUAAGAUAGUGACACACUGUUACGGUGUCCAACAAACAUAAAAUCAGCAGCCUUUGGACUACCCAACAUAAAGGCAGAAGACAGGAUUCUUGGGGAAAACAACGUUUUAUGGUUGACAAUGAUCGUGAGGGAGAACGGGCCGGUCUGGCUGGAAGAGGGCGGUCACUUCCCCUUUAAUAGUCAGAAGAAAACGUUUGGAAUAGCCGCGGGGUCUAAGGGCCUUGAAAAGGGUCCUGGUGGCCUCCUCUACGUGAUGAGGUAGAGAGCAGAUGCGGUGGCAACGGAUUAGUUGGGACUUGAUGAUGGAGCUGAAAGUAUGCCGGGGAUGGUAGCUGGUGUUAAAUAAUAAGGAAUGCCUGUCAGUGUCUUUAAAAUAAACCUUGGUUGCUAAUGUUUUGUGUCCAUCCUUCGUGUCUGUGAAG